AACUAUUGGAAACGAUAGCUAAUACCGCAUAACAAUGACAAACACAUGUUAGUGAUUUGAAAGGGGCAAAUGCUCCACUAUAAGCUGGACCUGCGUUGUAUUAGCUAGUUGGUAGGGUAAAGGCCUACCAAGGCUGCGAUACAUAGCCGACCUGAGAGGGUGAACGGCCACACUGGGACUGAGACACGGCCCAGACUCCUACGGGAGGCAGCAGUAGGGAAUCUUCGGCAAUGGGGGGAACCCUGACCGAGCAACGCCGCGUGAGUGAAGAAGGUUUUCGGAUCGUAAAGCUCUGUUGUCAGAGAAGAACGGGUGUGAGAGUGGAAAGUUCACACAGUGACGGUACCUGACGAGAAAGGGACGGCUAACUACGUGCCAGCAGCCGCGGUAAUACGUAGGUCCCGAGCGUUGUCCGGAUUUAUUGGGCGUAAAGCGAGCGCAGGCGGCUCUGUAAGUCUGAAGUAAAAGGCAGUGGCUUAACCAUUGUGUGCUUUGGAAACUGCGGGGCUUGAGUGCAGAAGGGGAGAGNGGAAUUCCAUGUGUAGCGGUGAAAUGCGUAGAUAUA
rnacentral:rRNA from 1 species